CAGCUGGAACCUGGAAAUUAGGAUUGGAAUCCUGAACUCCUAAAUCCAAACUACAGACUGGAAGUUACCAAAAAAUGUCACAGUGGUUCCUUGAUCAGGUAGAAAGAUGACAGAGCCCAACAUACCAGAACCUAGAAAGGAGGCGAAGGAGGCGGUCUAGAGGGAAGAGCACUUUGGUCAAAGGAUCAGGUGCAUAAAUGCGGAGGAAUGAGGAUGCCCGGCUUGCUGGAGGAUCAAGGGAAGGUAA
rnacentral:lncRNA from 10 species